rnacentral:lncRNA from 1 species
UUUUUACCAGCAACAAUUAGAUGAAUUUUAUGUGUACUCCUGGGUUAUUACCGCAGAAAUUUAUAAUUUGUCAAAGCAGGAGACUGUUGAUCUCAACUAUGUUUUCAACUACUACUGAAGCACUUUUUAAAAAUCUGAAAUUUGUGAGCUCAUUUGCCCAGCUUCUGACACACAGACUGGCCCACCAGACCCUCUAUUAACUGUUGAACUGAAUUGAAAUAGUCUUCCUGCAAAAUUCGCCUCUGAUUCCAUUUUUUCCCCCCACAUGAAAAGCAGUCGAAAAGCAUACUGGAUUUUCUCUUUGUAUUCCUGGAGCUAGCAGUGUUGGGAACACUGCAGGUGCGCAAAAAAUAUUUGUCAACGGUUGAAGUAGCAUGUGUCUAGCUAUUGUUCAAAUUAUGGUUAUGUUUAAAGUAUUUCUGGGUUUUAAAAACCAAAAUGUAAGUUCCUCACAUGCGAUAAAAUUUUAAAGGAGCUGUAUUUCAAGUACAGAAAAUGAAUUUCACACUCCCUACUUCUCAAGAAAAACUGGAUCGGGGCAGAUGAGACAGAGAAGUAGUAUCUGUUAAACACGGACUUGCUGGUCAGACCUUAUUCUUU